GAAGAGGCUGUGAGAGACGAUGUCGAGCUGGGGUGCCUCCUCCUCCGGCGCCGCCGCUCUCAAUCCAAUUCCUUGUAGCAGGAGAAAGAGGGUAAGAGGCAGUGAAGGAUGGUCGAUGGAAUCUCCCAGAGGAGCCAUGGCAUUUAUAGCCUCAUCGGAAGGUAGGGGGAGGGAGAACGGCCACUAUUGAGCGGUUAUAACCGCCUCAACAACUUCCUUCCCGAAGCUCCCACUGUUGGACCUCCAGAUGGGCCACCGACUACGAUCCAGGUUGGCCCGUCUGGGCCCAAUAAUUACAUUUUCACCUUGCAAAUUACUUUGAGAUGCUGACCUAUAGAGUUUGUAAUGCUAAGUUGAUUAGUUUUUUGUGACUUUAAAGUUUCAGGAUGGCAGUGUUUUUUUGGAUUUCUGAGAUAUCCAAAAUGCUCACCAAGGGAAAAAGAUGAAAUGUCCCAUGCAUGAAAUUUUCCUCAAGGUGCUGCUUAAAUUUAUACUUAGAGAAUUAUCUGCUUAAAUUUUCUGACAUGGAAUUCAGAGCAGCGUGGGAGGGAAUCUCAUAUGCCAAGCGGGCGCUAGAGACGAGGAGCAUCAUCCUAGAGAGAGACUUAGUGAAGAUUAUGGAGCAGAUUCUACAGGAGGGGACGUGAGAGAUAAAUCAUCCGCUUCUAUUGGGGGAGUGUGAUGCCUUACAGAUUGUAUAUGUCUACCGGGAGGCGAACAGAGUUGCGGAUUGGGUCACCUUCUGUACUGCUCACCACUUCGGAGAGAUUCUCUGGACACGUCAUGUAUCUGUCCCUCCACCUCUAGAGUGUAUCCUUUUUUUAGACUCUCAUGGCAGUACUCAUGAGAAAUUAGUGUAAGCAGCCGAUGUAUCAAAAAAAAAGAAAAAGAAAAGAACAUGAAAUAUCAUGAUGCAAAGAGAUAUUAAUAGUAACACCCACCUUUAG
rnacentral:lncRNA from 1 species